rnacentral:rRNA from 1 species
CAGUAGCCACGGUAACACGUAGGAGGCGAGCGUUGUCCGAAGUUACUGGGCGUAAAGAGCGCGUAGGCGGGUUCUUAAGUGAGGGGUGAAAGUCCGAGGCUCAACCUCGGAACUGCCUUUCAUACUGGGAACCUUGAGUGCGGGAGAGGCGAGUGGAAUGGUCGGUGUAGCGGUGAAAUGCGUAGAUAUCGAUCGGAACACCCAUGGCGAAGGCAGCUCGCUGGCCUGUAACUGACGCUGAGGCGCGAAAGCGUGGGGAGCAAACAGGAUUAGAUACCCCCGUAGUCCCUGUCUCUUAUAC